rnacentral:rRNA from 1 species
CUGGCUCAGAUUGAACGCUGGCGGCAGGCCUAACACAUGCAAGUCGAGCGGUAGCACAGAGAGCUUGCUCUCGGGUGACGAGCGGCGGACGGGUGAGUAAUGUCUGGGAAACUGCCUGAUGGAGGGGGAUAACUACUGGAAACGGUAGCUAAUACCGCAUAAUGUCGCAAGACCAAAGUGGGGGACCUUCGGGCCUCAUGCCAUCAGAUGUGCCCAGAUGGGAUUAGCUAGUAGGUGGGGUAACGGCUCACCUAGGCGACGAUCCCUAGCUGGUCUGAGAGGAUGACCAGCCACACUGGAACUGAGACACGGUCCAGACUCCUACGGGAGGCAGCAGUGGGGAAUAUUGCACAAUGGGCGCAAGCCUGAUGCAGCCAUGCCGCGUGUGUGAAGAAGGCCUUCGGGUUGUAAAGCACUUUCAGCGGGGAGGAAGGCGUUAAGGUUAAUAACCUUGGCGAUUGACGUUACCCGCAGAAGAAGCACCGGCUAACUCCGUGCCAGCAGCCGCGGUAAUACGGAGGGUGCAAGCGUUAAUCGGAAUUACUGGGCGUAAAGCGCACGCAGGCGGUCUGUCAAGUCGGAUGUGAAAUCCCCGGGCUCAACCUGGGAACUGCAUUCGAAACUGGCAGGCUAGAGUCUUGUAGAGGGGGGUAGAAUUCCAGGUGUAGCGGUGAAAUGCGUAGAGAUCUGGAGGAAUACCGGUGGCGAAGGCGGCCCCCUGGACAAAGACUGACGCUCAGGUGCGAAAGCGUGGGGAGCAAACAGGAUUAGAUACCCUGGUAGUCCACGCCGUAAACGAUGUCGAUUUGGAGGUUGUGCCCUUGAGGCGUGGCUUCCGGAGCUAACGCGUUAAAUCGACCGCCUGGGGAGUACGGCCGCAAGGUUAAAACUCAAAUGAAUUGACGGGGGCCCGCACAAGCGGUGGAGCAUGUGGUUUAAUUCGAUGCAACGCGAAGAACCUUACCUGGUCUUGACAUCCACAGAACUUUCCAGAGAUGGAUUGGUGCCUUCGGGAACUGUGAGACAGGUGCUGCAUGGCUGUCGUCAGCUCGUGUUGUGAAAUGUUGGGUUAAGUCCCGCAACGAGCGCAACCCUUAUCCUUUGUUGCCAGCGGUUCGGCCGGGAACUCAAAGGAGACUGCCAGUGAUAAACUGGAGGAAGGUGGGGAUGACGUCAAGUCAUCAUGGCCCUUACGACCAGGGCUACACACGUGCUACAAUGGCAUAUACAAAGAGAAGCGACCUCGCGAGAGCAAGCGGACCUCAUAAAGUAUGUCGUAGUCCGGAUUGGAGUCUGCAACUCGACUCCAUGAAGUCGGAAUCGCUAGUAAUCGUAGAUCAGAAUGCUACGGUGAAUACGUUCCCGGGCCUUGUACACACCGCCCGUCACACCAUGGGAGUGGGUUGCAAAAGAAGUAGGUAGCUUAACCUUCGGGAGGGCGCUUACCACUUUGUGAUUCAUGACUGGGGUGAAGUCGUA